ACAAAUAUGGAAGACGGGCUGGGACCUCUCGGGGUUACAGCCUUGCUGAAUUAUUCACCCUUGUCUUUUGCGUACUUCUUGUUUCCUUGGUGGGUUCGCCCACCACUAGGACAAACAUAAACCUUUUGUAAUUGCAAUCAGCGUCAGUAACAAAUUAAUAAUUACAACUUUCAACAACGGAUCUCUUGGUUCUGGCAUCGAUGAAGAACGCAGCGAAAUGCGAUAAGUAGUGUGAAUUGCAGAAUUCAGUGAAUCAUCGAAUCUUUGAACGCACAUUGCGCCCUUUGGUAUUCCAAAGGGCAUGCCUGUUCGAGCGUCAUUUGUACCCUCAAGCUUUGCUUGGUGUUGGGCGUCUUGUCUCUAGCUUUGCUGGAGACUCGCCUUAAAGUAAUUGGCAGCCGGCCUACUGGUUUCGGAGCGCAGCACAAGUCGCACUCUCUAUCAGCAAAGGUCUAGCAUCCAUUAAGCCUUUUUUCAACUUUUGACCUCGGAUCAGGUAGGGAUACCCGCUGAACUUAAGCAUAUCAUAAGGCCGGAGGAAAUCUUGUUGGGGGUUG
rnacentral:misc_RNA from 1 species